rnacentral:sRNA from 1 species
UGCGUUAUAUGCCUUUAAGAUCAUUCAUUCAUAAUUAACAUGAAUACUAUUAAGUAAACAAAAUAGAUAUUCAAUGAUUAUCUGGAUUCGCCCGGUGUGAAUACGCCGGGCUUUUUUUAUGGCAAAAA